UCACCGAAGGUGCAAAAUACGUAC
rnacentral:siRNA from 1 species